GUCUACGGCCAUACCACCCUGAACGCGCCCAAUCUCAUCUGAUCUCGGAAGCUAAGCAGGGUCGGGCCUGGUUAGGACUUGGAUGAGAGUACUAAUUUCAACCUCUACAAACA
ensembl:rRNA 5S_rRNA 5S ribosomal RNA